UAGGGGUUAGCAUAAAAGUGCGUAUAGUUUCGGCCUAUAAGGUAAGCUUAGAUGCUUACCCCUAU
rnacentral:tRNA from 1 species